GAUUAAGUUAUUAAGGGCGCACGGUGGAUGCCUUGGCACUAGAAGCCGAUGAAGGACGUUACUAACGACGAUAUGCUUUGGGGAGCUGUAAGUAAGCUUUGAUCCAGAGAUUUCCGAAUGGGGAAACCCAGCAUGAGUUAUGUCAUGUUAUCGAUAUGUGAAUACAUAGCAUAUCAGAAGGCACACCCGGAGAACUGAAACAUCUUAGUACCCGGAGGAAGAAAAAGAAAAUUCGAUUCCCUUAGUAGCGGCGAGCGAAACGGGAAGAGCCCAAACCAACAAGCUUGCUUGUUGGGGUUGUAGGACACUCUAUACGGAGUUACAAAGGACGACAUUAGACGAAUCAUCUGGAAAGAUGAAUCAAAGAAGGUAAUAAUCCUGUAGUCGAAAAUGUUGUCUCUCUUGAGUGGAUCCUGAGUACGACGGAACACGUGAAAUUCCGUCGGAAUCUGGGAGGACCAUCUCCUAAGGCUAAAUACUCUCUAGUGACCGAUAGUGAACCAGUACCGUGAGGGAAAGGUGAAAAGCACCCCGGAAGGGGAGUGAAAUAGAACCUGAAACCGUGUGCUUACAAGUAGUCAGAGCCCGUUAAUGGGUGAUGGCGUGCCUUUUGUAGAAUGAACCGGCGAGUUACGAUUUGAUGCAAGGUUAAGCAGUAAAUGUGGAGCCGUAGCGAAAGCGAGUCUGAAUAGGGCGUUUAGUAUUUGGUCGUAGACCCGAAACCAGGUGAUCUACCCUUGGUCAGGUUGAAGUUCAGGUAACACUGAAUGGAGGACCGAACCGACUUACGUUGAAAAGUGAGCGGAUGAACUGAGGGUAGCGGAGAAAUUCCAAUCGAACCUGGAGAUAGCUGGUUCUCUCCGAAAUAGCUUUAGGGCUAGCCUCAAGUGAUGAUUAUUGGAGGUAGAGCACUGUUUGGACGAGGGGCCCCUCUCGGGUUACCGAAUUCAGACAAACUCCGAAUGCCAAUUAAUUUAACUUGGGAGUCAGAACAUGGGUGAUAAGGUCCGUGUUCGAAAGGGAAACAGCCCAGACCACCAGCUAAGGUCCCAAAAUAUAUGUUAAGUGGAAAAGGAUGUGGCGUUGCCCAGACAACUAGGAUGUUGGCUUAGAAGCAGCCAUCAUUUAAAGAGUGCGUAAUAGCUCACUAGUCGAGUGACACUGCGCCGAAAAUGUACCGGGGCUAAACAUAUUACCGAAGCUGUGGAUUGUCCUUUGGACAAUGGUAGGAGAGCGUUCUAAGGGCGUUGAAGCAUGAUCGUAAGGACAUGUGGAGCGCUUAGAAGUGAGAAUGCCGGUGUGAGUAGCGAAAGACGGGUGAGAAUCCCGUCCACCGAUUGACUAAGGUUUCCAGAGGAAGGCUCGUCCGCUCUGGGUUAGUCGGGUCCUAAGCUGAGGCCGACAGGCGUAGGCGAUGGAUAACAGGUUGAUAUUCCUGUACCACCUAUAAUCGUUUUAAUCGAUGGGGGGACGCAGUAGGAUAGGCGAAGCGUGCGAUUGGAUUGCACGUCUAAGCAGUAAGGCUGAGUAUUAGGCAAAUCCGGUACUCGUUAAGGCUGAGCUGUGAUGGGGAGAAGACAUUGUGUCUUCGAGUCGUUGAUUUCACACUGCCGAGAAAAGCCUCUAGAUAGAAAAUAGGUGCCCGUACCGCAAACCGACACAGGUAGUCAAGAUGAGAAUUCUAAGGUGAGCGAGCGAACUCUCGUUAAGGAACUCGGCAAAAUGACCCCGUAACUUCGGGAGAAGGGGUGCUCUUUAGGGUUAACGCCCAGAAGAGCCGCAGUGAAUAGGCCCAAGCGACUGUUUAUCAAAAACACAGGUCUCUGCUAAACCGUAAGGUGAUGUAUAGGGGCUGACGCCUGCCCGGUGCUGGAAGGUUAAGAGGAGUGGUUAGCUUCUGCGAAGCUACGAAUCGAAGCCCCAGUAAACGGCGGCCGUAACUAUAACGGUCCUAAGGUAGCGAAAUUCCUUGUCGGGUAA
rnacentral:rRNA from 1 species